rnacentral:tRNA from 1 species
GCGAAUUGGCAGACGCACAGGACUUAAAAUCCUGCGGUAGGUGACUACCGUACCGGUUCGAUCCCGGU